AUGACGAAAUGCUUCCUGCUGCUCGCCUUCUUGGCGUUUCUCCUGCCGGCGGCCUAUGCCACGUGCCACCCUGACGACCUCCAAGCGCGGCGGGGCUUCGCAGGGAAGAGCAAUAGAAGAACACUCCAACAACAACAACCAAAUACCAUUACUGGGACCAACAACAGUGUCAGAUCUGGGAGUGGCAAUAUUGUAUCUGGGAACGGCAACACUGUCAUAUCUGGGGAUAACAACAAUGUUUCUGGGAGCAACAACACAGUCACAUCUGGGAGCAGCAAUGUCAUAGUUGACACCAACCAUGUCGUUACUGGGAGCAACAAUACUGUAUCCGGCAAUAACAAUAGGGUAACUGGGAACAAUAAUGUUGUAUCAGGGAGCAACCAUGUCGUGUCCGGGGACAACAAAGUCGUAACUGGCGGUUAA
rnacentral:rRNA from 1 species